rnacentral:rRNA from 1 species
GACGAACGCUGGCGGCGUGCUUAACACAUGCAAGUCGAACGGAAAGGCCCUGCUUUUGUGGGGUGCUCGAGUGGCGAACGGGUGAGUAACACGUGAGUAACCUGCCCUUGACUUUGGGAUAACUCCAGGAAACUGGGGCUAAUACCGGAUAGGAGCUCCUGCUGCAUGGUGGGGGUUGGAAAGUUUCGGCGGUUGGGGAUGGACUCGCGGCUUAUCAGCUUGUUGGUGGGGUAGUGGCUUACCAAGGCUUUGACGGGUAGCCGGCCUGAGAGGGUGACCGGCCACAUUGGGACUGAGGGACGGCCCAGACUCCUACGGGAGGCAGCAGUGGGGAAUAUUGCACAAUGGGGGGAAGCCUGAUGCAGCAACGCCGCGUGCGGGAUGACGGCCUUCGGGUUGUAAACCGCUUUCGCCUGUGACGAAGCGUGAGUGACGGUAAUGGGUAAAGAAGCACCGGCUAACUACGUG